GAUGAACGCUGGCGGCGUGCCUAAUACAUGCAAGUCGAGCGAACAGACGAGGAGCUUGCUCCUCUGACGUUAGCGGCGGACGGGUGAGUAACACGUGGAUAACCUACCUAUAAGACUGGGAUAACUUCGGGAAACCGGAGCUAAUACCGGAUAAUAUAUUGAAUCGCAUGGUUCAAUAGUGAAAGACGGUUUUGCUGUCACUUAUAGAUGGAUCCGCGCCGCAUUAGCUAGUUGGUAAGGUAACGGCUUACCAAGGCAACGAUGCGUAGCCGACCUGAGAGGGUGAUCGGCCACACUGGAACUGAGACACGGUCCAGACUCCUACGGGAAGCAGCAGUAGGGAAUCUUCCGCAAUGGGCGAAAGCCUGACGGAGCAACGCCGCGUGAGUGAUGAAGGUCUUCGGAUCGUAAAACUCUGUUAUUAGGGAAGAACAAAUGUGUAAGUAACUAUGCACGUCUUGACGGUACCUAAUCAGAAAGCCACGGCUAACUACGUG
rnacentral:rRNA from 1 species